UCGCCUGUUUAUCAAAAACAUAACUAUAGGGGAUAUCUAUAGCGAUUUCUGCUCAAUGUGAGAAUAAAUAGCCGCAGUACUCUGACUGUGCUAAGGUAGCAUAAUCAAUAGGCUUUUAAUUUAAGUCUGGUAUGAAGGAAGAUUUGGGGGUUAACUGUCUCCUGGGGAAAGGUUGAAUUUUUUCAAAAAGUGCAAAGACUUUUUCUUAAUUAUUAGACGAGAAGACCCUAGAAAUUUUUUAAUGUAUUUUGUUGGGGCGACAAGGUAACAGCUAACUUACCUAUAGAUUAGGAGUAUUAUUUACGGAGCAAAGAAAUUACUCUAGGGAUAACAGCAUAAUUUUUUAAAGUUUGUGACCUCGAUGUUGGACUAGGGACCGUUAAGUUUAGAAGAAUUAAUUGGUUGCUCUGUUCGAGCAAAUAUUACCUACCUGAUCUGGAUUCAGACCGGA
rnacentral:rRNA from 1 species